UUGAACGCUGGCGGAAUGCUUUACACAUGCAAGUCGAGCGGCAGCGCGGGGGCAACCUUGGCGGCGAGCGGCGAACGGGUGAGUAACAUAUCGGAACGUACCCAGACGUGGGGGACAACUAGUCGAAAGACUAGCUAAUACCGCAUACGUCCUGAGGGAGAAAGCGGGGGAUCGCAAGACCUCGCGCGUUUGGAGCGGCCGAUAUCUGAUUAGCUAGAUGGUGGGGUAAAGGCUCACCAUGGCGACGAUCAGUAGCUGUUCUGAGAGCAUGAUCAGACACACUGGAACUGAGACACGGUCCAGACUCCUACGGGAGGCAGCAGUGGGGAAUUUUGGACAAUGGGGGAAACCCUGAUCCAGCCAUUCCGCGUGAGUGAAGAAGGCCUUCGGGUUGUAAAGCUCUUUCGGCAGGAACGAAACGGCGGAAUCUAAUACAUGCCACUAAUGACGGUACCUGAAGAAGAAGCACCGGCUAACUACGU
rnacentral:rRNA from 1 species